rnacentral:rRNA from 1 species
CUGACCUCAGAUCAGGCGAGAUYACCCGCUGAGUUUAAGCAUAUCACUAAGCGGAGGAAAAGAAACUAACAAGGAUUCCCUUAGUAGCGGCGAGCGAWCCGKGAAGAGCCCA